GUGCUUAACACAUGCAAGUCGAACGGAGCGAAUGAAAGCUUGCUUUUAUGAGCUUAGUGGCAAACGGGUGAGUAACACGUAGGCAACCUGCCGACAGGAUGGGGACAACAUUCCGAAAGGAAUGCUAAUACCGAAUGAAGCGGAGGAGAGGCAUCUCCCCUCCGUGAAAGAUGGCCUCUUUUUAUGCUAUCACCUGUCGAUGGGCCUGCGUCUGAUUAGCUGGUAGGUGAGGUAACGGCUCACCUAGGCGACGAUCAGUAGCCGGUCUGAGAGGAUGAACGGCCACAUUGGGACUGAGACACGGCCCAGACUCCUACGGGAGGCAGCAGUGGGGAAUCUUCCGCAAUGGGCGCAAGCCUGACGGAGCAACGCCGCGUGAGUGAAGAAGGUCUUCGGAUCGUAAAGCUCUGUUGAUGGGGACGAACGUGCCUAAUGCAAAUAGUUUUAGGCAAUGACGGUACCCAUCGAGGAAGCCCGG
rnacentral:rRNA from 1 species